rnacentral:rRNA from 1 species
UACAGGGGGUGCAAACGUUGCUCGGAAUCAUUGGGCGUAAAGCGCACGUAGGCGGUUCGUUAUGUCGGAUGUGAAAGCCCUUGGCUUAACCGAGGAAGUGGCAUCCGAAACUGGCGAGCUAGAGUACGAAAGAGGAUCGCGGAAUUCCCGGUGUAGAGGUGAAAUUCGUAGAUAUCGGGAGAACACCAGUGGCGAAGGCGGCUCACUGGCCCGUAACUGACGCUGAGGUGCGAAACGUGGGGAGCAAACAGG